CUACGGGAGGCAGCAGUGAGGAAUAUUGCACAAUGGGGGGAACCCUGAUGCAGCAACGCCGCAUGGAGGAUGACGCAUUUCGGUGUGUAAACUCCUUUUAUAUGUCAAGAAAAUGACGGUAGCAUAUGAAUAAGCACCGGCUAACUCCGUGCCAGCAGCCGCGGUAAUACGGAGGGUGCAAGCGUUACUCGGAAUCACUGGGCGUAAAGGACGCGUAGGCGGGUUGGAAAGUCAGGUGUGAAAUCCUACAGCUUAACUGUAGAACUGCACUUGAAACUUCUAAUCUAGAGUAUGGGAGGGGGAGAUGGAAUUAGUGGUGUAGGGGUAAAAUCCGUAGAUAUCACUAGGAAUACCUAAAGCGAAGGCGAUCUCCUGGAACAUUACUGACGCUAAGGCGUGAAAGCGUGGGGAGCAAACAGGGUUAGAUACCCGAGUAGUC
rnacentral:rRNA from 1 species